UUAAAUUAGUAAGAGCGUACGGUGGAUGUCUUGGCAUAUAGAGCAGAAGAAGGACGCAGAUAACGGCGAAACGCCUCGGGGAGUCGUACACAGGCAACGAUCCGGGGGUAUCCGAAUGGGGAAACCCGAUAAAGUUGAAAAGCUUUAUCAUCCUUAAGCCAAUACAUAACUUAAGAGAAGGCAACCCAGGGAAUUGAAACAUCUUAGUACCUGGAGGAGAAGAAAAUAACAAUGAUUCCGAGAGUAGUGGCGAGCGAAAUCGGAGCAGCCCAAACCAGCAAAGAGCUGGGGUAGUAGGACCACGACAAGUGAUUGAAAAGAGAUAGUCGAAUGGCAUUGAAAGGUCAGCCGCAGAAGGUGCAAGCCCUGUAGGCGAAAUCCCGAUUCACGCGAGUGGUAUCCUGAGUACGUCGGAGCACGUGAAACUCUGACGGAAUCAACCGGGACCAUCCGGUAAGGCUAAAUACUCCUAUAUGACCGAUAGUGAACCAGUACCAUGAGGGAAAGAUGAAAAGAACCGCGGGAGCGGAGUGAAAUAGAUCCUGAAACCGUAUGCUUACAAAAAGUCAGAGCACAUUAAGGUGUGAUGGCGUGCCUUUUGUAGAAUGAACCGGCGAGUUAUCUUUGCAUGCGAGGUUAAGCAGACAAUGCGGAGCCGUAGCGAAAGCGAAUCUUAAUAGGGUGGCAAGUAUGUAGAGAUAGACCCGAAGCCGUAGUGAUCUAGUCAUGAGCAGGUUGAAGGCUGGGUGAAUCCAGCUGGAGGACCGAACCGACCCCCGUUGAAAAGUUGGCGGAUGACUUGUGAUUAGCGGAGAAAUUCCAAUCGAACACGGCGAUAGCUGGUUCUCCCCGAAAUAGCUUUAGGGCUAGCGUUGAACGGAUCUACCCGGAGGUAGAGCACUGAAAUCAUGCGGGCGGCAUCUCGCCGUACCAAAUGAUAUCAAACUCCGAAUGCCGGGCAAGAAUAUUCAGCAGUCAGACUGUGGGUGAUAAGGUCCAUGGUCAAAAGGGAAACAGCCCAGAUCAUCAGAUAAGGUCCCAAAAUUUACGCUAAGUGGAAAAGGAUGUGGAGACGCGCAAACAGCUAGGAGGUUGGCUCAGAAGCAGCCAUCCUUCAAAGAGUGCGUAACAGCUCACUAGUCGAGUAUCUCUGCGCCGAAAAUUAACCGGGGCUAAGCGUAAUACCGAAUCUAUGGAUUUAUACUUAGGUAUAAGUGGUAGGGGAGCGUUCCAUACAGCAUUGAAGGUAUACCGUAAGGAGUGCUGGAGCGUAUGGAAGUGAGAAUGCCGGUGUGAGUAGCGAGAUGUGGGUGAGAAUCCCACACACCGAACAACCAAGGUUUCCAGGGGAAGGUUCGUCCGCCCUGGGUAAGUCGGGACCUAAGGCCAGGCCGAAAGGCGUAGUCGAUGGACAGCAGGUUGAUAUUCCUGCACCCGCGAGUAAAGUGAUGGAGUGACAGAUAGGGUUAGCCCUAGUCCUUAAUGGAUUGGGCAAGGCAAGCAGGAGAGUGGCGUAGGCAAAUCCGCGCCGGAUACUCAAAGGCUUGACUCAAGCGAACGCGCGAGCAAGUAGUGAAGAGGGCGAUACCAGGUCUCAAGAAAAGCUUCUAGCGAUAAUUUACUAGCGGCCCGUACCAAAACCGACACAGGUGGUUGAGGCGAGUAGCCUAAGGUGAGCGAGAGAACUGUUGCCAAGGAACUCGGCAAAUUGACCCCGUACGUUAGCAAUAAGGGGUGCUCGAAAGAGCCGCAGUGAAUAGGCCCUAGCAACUGUUUAACUAAAACAUAGCUCUCUGCGAAGUCGCAAGACGAAGUAUAGGGGGUGACACCUGCCCGGUGCUGGAAGGUCAAGGGGAUUUGUCAGACGCAAGUCGAAGCAUUGAACCGAAGCCCCAGUGAACGGCGGCCGUAACUAUAACGGUCCUAAGGUAGCGAAAUUCCUUGUCGGGUAAG
rnacentral:rRNA from 1 species